CUGAAAAUGCCUAGAUGGGUCGCCAGACUCCAUAAACA
rnacentral:tRNA from 1 species